AUUGAACGCUGGCGGCAGGCCUAACACAUGCAAGUCGAACGGAGUGGGGACGGGUGAGUAACACGUGGGUAACCUCCCAUCAGAGGGGAUAACACUUGGAAACAGGUGCUAAACCGAUACUGAUGGAUGGACCCGCGGUGCAUUAGCUAGUUGGUGAGGUAACGGCUCACCAAGGCCACGAUGCAUAGCCGACCUGAGAAGGUGAUCGGGCAAACUGGGACUGGGACACGGCCCAGACGCCUACGGGAGGCAGCAGUAGGGAAGCUUCGGAAAUGGACGAAAGUCUGACCGAGCAACGCCGCGGGAGUGAAGAAGGUUUUCGGAUCGUAAAGCUCUGGUGUUAAGGAAGCGGUACUUAACCAGAAAGGGACGGCUAACUACGUGCCAGCAGCCGCGGUAAUUC
rnacentral:rRNA from 1 species